UACGUAGGGGGCAAGCGUUGUCCGGAAUCAUUGGGCGUAAAGCGCGUGUAGGCGGCUUAGUAAGUCUGCUCUGAAAGCCCGGGGCUCAACCCUGGGAGGCGGGUGGAUACUGCUGAGCUUGAGUCUGGAAGAGGCGAGUGGAAUUCCUGGUGUAGCGGUGAAAUGCGCAGAUAUCAGGAGGAACACCAAUGGCGAAGGCAGCUCGCUGGGACGGUACUGACGCUGAGACGCGAAAGCGUGGGGAGCAAACAGG
rnacentral:rRNA from 1 species